UACGUAGGGUGCGAGCGUUGUCCGGAAUUAUUGGGCGUAAAGGGCUCGUAGGCGGUCUGUUGCGUCGGGAGUGAAAACUCAGGGCUUAACCCUGAGCCUGCUUCCGAUACGGGCAGACUAGAGGUAUGCAGGGGAGAACGGAAUUCCUGGUGUAGCGGUGAAAUGCGCAGAUAUCAGGAGGAACACCGGUGGCGAAGGCGGUUCUCUGGGCUGACACUGACGCUCAUGCACGAAAGCGUGGGGAGCAAACAGG
rnacentral:rRNA from 1 species